GAUUUUCAUUAACUCCUUUGUGUAUCUCCGUUUCACAUUUAUUAUAUCAUUUAUACUGGACGGAGGUUUGCUAAGGAAUAUUUGAAAAUU
rnacentral:pre_miRNA from 1 species